rnacentral:lncRNA from 1 species
UUCGGGGUGGGGGCGGGGCGAGGACUCAGUGGGCGGGAACAGAGCUGCAAGGGGUGGGCCCUAGCUCGAGAGUGUCCUCCCAGGGCGUGGCCUGUUCUUAGAGAGCGGGCCCCAAGGGAGGUGUAAUGCUGGACUCGUGGCCAAGAUGAUCCGAGAAGCUCGAGUGCAAUUGCUUAGAGAGGCUUGGGGGGGAACCUGGGGGGGUGAGUGAAUUGGGCAGGUCCACGGUGUGCUAGGGGUCUGCGUCUGACUGCUGGUCGGAUACGUGCCUUGGGGUGCUCUGGGUCGUGACCCGCCGGCGGCUCACCCACCGCUCCCGGCUGUACGUCCCUUUGCUCCACAUGCCCACUUGGUUUAGGUAGCUCAGCGUGCCUGGGGGCGGGGGCUAGGUGGGCCGUUGGACUCGGAACCCCGCCCUAGGCCCCGCCCCGUCCCUCGAGGCACACAUGCCCCUCGGGUCCGCCCCAUGCGACCCCGGGCCCUGCCUCGUCUUCUGCCUCGGCUCCGCCCCCUGCCCAGGCCACGCCCCUCUCUCCCGAGGCCCCGCCCCUCCCUCCCGAGGCCCCGCCCUCACCGGCCCACAGCAUCAGGGCGGCAGCGCCCCAGCACAGGUAGGUGGUCACCAGGUAGGAUACCUGUGGCCUCGGGCGCAGUGUCUCGCAGUUGACUACAAAGAGCGUGAGGCUGAGGACAAUCAGGAACCCUGCACUGGGGUGGGGCCAGAGACGGACACGAGGCUGGACAGGGACCCCGGGACUCGCAGAAAGAGAAGAGACAGAGACAUCCUCUCCCCGCCUCCAUGACAAACACACACACACACACACACACACACACACACACACACACGAUAGACUAAAAUGAUACCAGCAAAGAGGCGGAAAGAAGAGGGAAACAUGGCAAAGUGAGAGACACCCCUCACACCCCGACUGAGAAAGAUAAAGUAGAACAGAUGCACCAGGGAGAGGUGGAGCAGAGAUCCCAAGAGACAUUCAAAGACGGAGACCCAGCAGCCAGCAGGACAGAAACUCUGAGAUACACCUCCCCAAAGCUGGAAAGAGAGCCCCGGGGAGAGAUGCUGAGGGGGGAGGGCACCCCUUCCCCCAAGCCGACACUUACCAACGCUGAAGCUGAGGGAACUGAAGACAAGGUCGAUCUUGUUAAGGCGGCGGAAGACUGGCCAGAAGGAGAUGCCCAUGGUGAGGAGGAGGACCAGACACAGCAUCAGGGCCAGCAUCAUGCAGCCCAUGCUCAUGUGGAUGAGAACUGGGGGGCAAAGGGCGGGGGGGAGGAUGCCCCGGAGUCAUCCCCAGACGCUCUCCAAGGUCACCCUCCAAACUCAUCCGCUUGACACCCACGAGCAGCAUCCCAAACAGACACCCCCAAAGUUUAGCCACAGACAUCCUCAAAAUCAGCUCCACUUGCAUUUCCAAAGUCACCUCCUAGAAACCCCAAAAUGACUCCUCUCACUCACAAAUCAUCCCCAAGUCCCCGUAAAGUCUGUUCAAAGUCAUCCCCACUCACACCCUCAGAGCUGUCUCAAAUCGCACCCACCUUACUCCACAGUCAGCCCCGAGAGAACGUCAUAAUCAACCCCACCCACACCCCCAAGGCCACCCCACAGAUGACCCUGAGUCACUCCACAGAAGCAUCUCAACCAUUUCUAGAGUCACCUCCACGUACAGCUCCAAAAUCACCCCACUCAUAAUUCCAAAAGAUGUCCCACAGCCACUCACAUUCGUACCCUCAGUGUCACCCCUGGACACUCCCAAUAGCACCCUCAAAGUUACCCAAGACACCUUAGUCAUCUCCAGACACCCUACUUCUGCUAAAGUCUCUGCCACUCCCACCCUAAGGUCCCCUGGUCACCCCAUUCACAGCCCCAGAAGUUCCCUGGGUAGCGCAGUGGCAUCCCCAUUCACACCCCAGAGCCCCCCACAUUCUCUGAAUCACCCCCGUCGUCCCCCAGAGCGCACACACACACGUAUACACAAGGAAAACCUCCAAUCAAAUACUCUAAUGCCAACGUACCUAAAAGAUGCAAUCACACUCCGUUUACAACGGAUAUUUAUCCAAUUUACGUUUCAGUAUGUCAAGAGCUUCAGCCCCUCCUGAGAAUUACGUCUCCUCCUUUUGGCUCUUCCUAUUGAGUCUGCUUUUCAACAAUGCAAGACUGUUUGAGCCAAAUGAGCUAAGACUCCCUCUGCUUCGUUUCUGGCAAACUGCAUGUCUCUAACACCUAACCAGAAAGCGGGAGGCAUCCACCUCUCCCAGGAAGGAAUCCAGCCUCCCUUACAGCUAGGACCUCGGCACGUGACCAGGCUCCACCAAUAAAACAGAGCCACGCCCUGAAAUCGGCAGCCGGAAGAAGCAGGCUGGUCAGAGCGGCCGCAGCCAUCUCUAAGGUCCUGAGGCAGCGGAGAAAAGGGUUCCCCAGGGGAGACCAGGCCAGGAGAGGCCGGGGUCCACAGGGCAGGCUGCAAGGCGUGUGCCCAGCCAGCCAGUCCUCCAGAGCAUCUCUGGGUAUGGUCCUGGUCACUCGACCCCCGCAGCCCAGUUCUCUCGCCUCCCAGAGAUCCCACAAGCUCCCCGACAGACGUCCCGUAUAAAUCUGUUUUCUGCUUAAACCAGUUUGAAUUGGCUCCUGCUGCUUGUCAUGAGAAUCCUGACCUCUCUGGGGAGUGUCUAUCAAAGGCUUACAAAAUCUCACCAGCCCUUUUGAAACACGGUUACUCCACUCUUGGGAAUCUUACCCCCAAAGGAAUUAUGCUCAAAUAAAGAAUCACAAAUAUAGGGGGAAAUGGUGCGCAGUCGUUUCUGCCCACCCAGCAUCCGUUCCUGUUCUUCUGGCAACAGCAACUCGAUUUUGUUCCGAGGAACUCUCCAGCCACCGUCUGUCCUUGUGCUCCUAACGGAAGGGACCGCUCCACUGACUUUUAAGAAAAGCAUGUGAUCCAGAUCCAGCCAGUCACAGCAUGAUGUUCUCCUGACCACAGCAACUGGGAGGAGUGAGAAAUGCCAGGGAAGAGCAUCUGAUCCCAUUGGAGUUAAUCCUGAGACCUUCGCUUGAGAGCCACAGAAGGCAAUCAGUCCUCUUUUUCCCAGGGUUGUUUACAGAAAGGAGGGACUCUGGGCACUGGUGACGGCCCCAUUGCCACAGCGUGAGCACAGCUUGUCUGAGGGCCCAACACAGAGGAAGCUGUCACAGAGAGAUGGCAAGAGACAGAUUGCUACUCACACCCUUUGAGCACCUGGAUCCAGCAGUACCUGAACCCACUUACAUCCAUGCCUCUGGAUUUUUC